CUCCUCCAGAUCCCUUCAUUUUUUGGAGUGUCCAAAGUGCUUGAAGAAAAAAGAAGAGAUCAGCCAUUGAAGUUACUUGCAGGCUAGCACCUCCAAGCCCCUGAUCUAUGCCAGUCUUCGCAUAGAUUUUUUUAUAGAGGUCAGAUGACUUUGUAUGGCUGUGAGUGAUUUGAGGAACAUCUUCUCCAAGUGUUAGACCAGCAAAGAUCAAGAUCUC
rnacentral:lncRNA from 1 species